rnacentral:rRNA from 1 species
CACGUAGGGCGCAAGCGUUGUCCGGAAUUAUUGGGCGUAAAGAGCUCGUAGGCGGUCUGUUGCGUCCGCUGUGAAAACCCGGGGCUUAACCCUGGGCUGGCAGUGGAUACGGACAGACUAGAGGUAGGUAGAGGAGAAUGGAAUUCCCGGUGUAGCGGUGAAAUGCGCAGAUAUCGGGAAGAACACCCGUGGCGAAGGCGGUUCUCUGGGACGGUACUGACGCUGAGACGCGAAAGCGUGGGGAGCGAACAGG